rnacentral:tRNA from 1 species
CAGAGUGUAGCUAAGACAGAUAAAGCAUCUCCCUUACACUGAGAAGUCACUUGUGCAAAUCAAGUCACCCUGA